rnacentral:rRNA from 1 species
UACGUAGGGUGCGAGCGUUGUCCGGAAUUAUUGGGCGUAAAGAGCUUGUAGGCGGUUUGUCGCGUCUGCUGUGAAAUCUCAAGGCUCAACCUUGAGCUUGCAGUGGGUACGGGCGGACUAGAGUGUGGUAGGGGUAGAGGGAAUUCCCGGUGUAGCGGUGAAAUGCGUAGAGAUCGGGAAGAACAUCGGUGGCGAAGGCGCUCUACUGGACCACAACUGACACUCAGGGACGAAAGCUAGGGGAGCGAAUGGG